CCACAGAACAUCUGGGCCAAUCUGGACCAAUGAUACUAGAGGAGAGGAGCAAGAUAAACCACUCGACCAAAAAGCUGUAGUCGUAAUUUGUAAUUUGUUUCGCGCCAUUUUGGGAAUCAUAUAUAUCAAAGAUCCGAUCUUUGAUGUAUAUGAGGAGGGGGAGAGGGGGUUUGACUGGGCUUCUGUUGUGGCGCCCACAUCUACACGUGUAGCGAGCCGUUCUGCUAUAGUGCUCGAAUCACCAAUGUAAGCGAUUCAAACACUUUAUUGCCGUCUUUCUUCAGGUUCCCCACUAAAGACGAAAGAUGUUGACAGUGGGUCCAGAAUACUCGUUGAUAAGAUCUCCUCUAGCGAACUACGGAGUACUUGUCAAAGAACUACCGUCUUUGUUCUGAACACCCUGUAUAUCUCACACAUAAAACAAUAAAUUAUGUAAAUCUUACCAUAAAUGACAGAAAUAAAAAGUGUUAUCCUUGUUUA